rnacentral:rRNA from 1 species
AACGUAGGUUCCGAGCGUUAUCCGGAUUUACUGGGCGUAAAGCGCGUUCAGGCGGUUUGGCAAGUCGGGCAUGAAAUCUCUCGGCUCAACCGGGAGAGGUUGUCCGAUACUGCUGGACUUGAGGGCAGUAGAGGGUGGUGGAAUUCCGGGUGUAGCGGUGAAAUGCGCAGAUAUCAGGAGGAACACCAAUUGCGAAGGCAGCUCGCUGGGACGUUACUGACGCUGAGACGCGAAAGCGUGGGGAGCAAACAGG